rnacentral:rRNA from 1 species
GGGGGACAAGUAGAGUGGCGCACGGGUGAGUAACACGUAGGUAAUCUACCUUUGGAUUGGGAAUAACAACCGGAAACGGUUGCUAAUACCGAAUAAUGCAGCGGCACCUAAUGGUGACAGUUGUUAAAGCGGGGGAUCGCAAGACCUCGCGUCUGAAGAGGAGCCUGCGGCGGAUUAGCUAGUUGGUAAGGUAACGGCUUACCAAGGCGAUGAUCCGUAGCCGGCCUGAGAGGGCGGUCGGCCACACUGACACUGACAUACGGGUCAGACUCCUACGGGAGGCAGCAGUCGGGAAUUUUGGGCAAUGGGCGAAAGCCUGACCCAGCAACGCCGCGUGAAGGAUGAAAUCCCUCGGGAUGUAAACUUCGCAAGAACGGGAAGAAUAAGUAGGGGACAAUACCCCCUAUGAUGACGGUACUGUUUGUAAGCUCCGGCUAACUCCGUGCCAGCAGCCGCGGUAAUACGGGGGGAGCAAGCGUUGUUCGGAUUUACUGGGCGUAAAGGGCGCGUAGGCGGCCACCGCAAGUCGACUGUGAAAUCUCCGGGCUUAACUCGGAAAGGUCAGCCGAUACUGCGGGGCUAGAGUGCAGAAGGGGCAACUGGAAUUCUCGGUGUAGCGGUGAAAUGCGUAGAUAUCGAGAGGAACACCUGCGGCGAAGGCGGGUUGCUGGGCUGACACUGACGCUGAAGUGCGAAAGCUAGGGGAGCGAACGGGAUUAGAUACCCCGGUAGUCCUAGCCUUAAACGAUGAAUGCUUGGUGUCUGGGGUUCUAUAGUCCCCGGGUGCCGUCGCUAACGC